CAGCCGCCGCGGGAACACGAAGGGGGCUAGCGUUGUUCGGAUUUACUGGGCGUAAAGCGCACGUAGGCGGAUCCUUAAGUCAGAGGUGAAAUCCCAAGGCUCAACCUUGGAACUGCCUUUGAUACUGGGGAUCUCGAGUUCGGGAGAGGUGAGUGGAACUGCGAGUGUAGAGGUGAAAUUCGUAGAUAUUCGCAAGAACACCAGUGGCGAAGGCGGCUCACUGGCCCGAUACUGACGCUGAGGCGCGAAAGCGUGGGGAGCAAACAGGAUUAGAUACCCCAGUAGUCCCUGUCUCUUAUAC
rnacentral:rRNA from 1 species